rnacentral:tRNA from 1 species
GGAGGACUAGCAUAAUUGGUAAUGCAGCGGUCUUGAAAACCGCCGUCCUUAGGACUUGGGGGUUCGAGUCCCUCGUCCUCCG